UACGGGGGGAGCAAGCGUUGUUCGGAUUUACUGGGCGUAAAGGGCGCGUAGGCGGUCGUGACAAGUCACUUGUGAAAUCUCCGGGCUUAACUCGGAACGGUCAAGUGAUACUGUCGGACUAGAGUACAGAAGGGGCAACUGGAAUUCUCGGUGUAGCGGUGAAAUGCGUAGAUAUCUGGAGGAACACCGGUGGCGAAGGCGGCAUCCUGGACCGGUAUUGACGCUGAUGAGCGAAAGCCAGGGGAGCAAACGGG
rnacentral:rRNA from 1 species